rnacentral:rRNA from 1 species
AGGAGACCAACUUUAUUAAUCAAUGAUCAGGGAUUACAAUGAUAGCUCCUCGUUGCUUUAGGACCAGGGGUCAAGGAAUAAAUACCCACUUAACAGAAAAGAGGGGAAACCGGAGGGGGUUGCACACGGCCGCCGCCACCCCUCCGGGUGGCCCGGUUUCCCAACAUAAAUACCCUGUCUUCAAUCAAUGAGAAACAACUGUUCGAUCAUUUGCUCUCCCUCUCUCGUUUUACUCUUUGACAAGUUAUCAGCACGCUCUGGACUGAGCGAUUCCAACGAGGAGAGCCCUUCCCGUGCGGCAGCGGCCGAGGCCAUGGCUCUCAUCCGGCCCUCUGCAGCGGCAUCGUCCAGAUCGACGGGAUGACCUGGCCCUCCCGGACGGAGGCGCGUUUCCCACGUGAGAUCCGCGACACCGGCGGAAACCAGAAAAACAGAGAAGUUGCAAAGAACAGGAGAAGAACAACGACAACGGAUCCAGGAUUGAGACGAACAAGAAGCAUAAAUCGAAUUAAAAAAGGAGUCAAAUCACGAACUAGUAGCAUCCUGAUUCUCAGGUUCCGUACUUCACACAUGAAGCAUACAGAUCAAAACUCCUGGAUCUUAAUUGCUGUAUCAUCAGGUGAUCCUAUUCCAAAUUUGCUUGUUCCUACACAGAAUCAGUACUAACCUGCUGGACAACGGCAACGUAACGCUGUUCAGCGCAACCAUGGCCUUCGGCCUUCGCGGGGUGCGGCCAGCGGCCAUAGAUGCCCCCAGGCACGGUAGGAGCAUGCAGCGCCCGGCGAUGCUCCCCUGGCCUCCGGAGACGCUAUGCGGACGGCAAGCGCGGCGCGCGAGCCCGCGCUCCCCGGCGCGGCUCCUCCAGCAAGCGGGCGACAUGACGCCCUCUGGCAGCGCGACACAGCAAGCCCGCAGCGGCCGUGACUCGGCAUCGCUCAGGCCUGCGGGAUCGCCCUCCGGCGCUCGGAGCACAAUCUAGCCCGUACGCCGACGGUUUUCGAUUGAAGCAAUGCGGCCGCGACUUCCGACACGGCUCCUGGCGCCGCGCACAAAUCCUCCCGGCGGCGAUGACUAGAAAAAUCCCCCACGGGAUGUAACCGCACAGGAGGGGAAUUGGGGAUUCUUAUCCAUUCAGUUAUUUACUGAUUUAGCCUUCUAACUAUAUGUUAAUUCCGCAAAAGUCCAUGUAUUUCUGUAUCAGCCAUUUCCCAUUUGGCUUGCAGUAUUUUACAGUCAAAUUAUCAAGCCUUGUGUAGUUUAGCCUUCAGGCUUACUAUUUAACACUUUAACUCUUUGGUUAUUAUUCUUUCUAUUCUAAGCUCUUGGCUUUAGAAAAUAUAUGUGGGAGAACCUCGGGUUACCC